rnacentral:rRNA from 1 species
ACGCUGGCGGCGUGCCUAAUACAUGCAAGUAGAACGCUGAAGGAGGAGCUUGCUUCUCUGGAUGAGUUGCGAACGGGUGAGUAACGCGUAGGUAACCUGCCUGGUAGCGGGGGAUAACUAUUGGAAACGAUAGCUAAUACCGCAUAACAGUAGAUGUUGCAUGACAUUUGCUUAAAAGGUGCAAUUGCAUCACUACCAGAUGGACCUGCGUUGUAUUAGCUAGUUGGUGGGGUAACGGCUCACCAAGGCGACGAUACAUAGCCGACCUGAGAGGGUGAUCGGCCACACUGGGACUGAGACACGGCCCAGACUCCUACGGGAGGCAGCAGUAGGGAAUCUUCGGCAAUGGACGGAAGUCUGACCGAGCAACGCCGCGUGAGUGAAGAAGGUUUUCGGAUCGUAAAGCUCUGUUGUAAGAGAAGAACAGGUGUGAGAGUGGAAAGUUCACACUGUGACGGUAUCUUACCAGAAAGGGACGGCUAACUACGUGCCAGCAGCCGCGGUAAUACGUAGGUCCCGAGCGUUGUCCGGAUUUAUUGGGCGUAAAGCGAGCGCAGGCGGUUAGAUAAGUCUGAAGUUGAAGGCUGUGGCUUAACCAUAGUACGCUUUGGAAACUGUUUAACUUGAGUGCAAGAGGGGAGAGUGGAAUUCCAUGUGUAGCGGUGAAAUGCGUAGAUAUAUGGAGGAACACCGGUGGCGAAAGCGGCUCUCUGGCUUGUAACUGACGCUGAGGCUCGAAAGCGUGGGGAGCAAACAGGAUUAGAUACCCCUGGUAGUCCACGCCGUAAACGAUGAGUGCUAGGUGUUAGACCCUUUCCGGGGUUUAGUGCCGCAGCUAACGCAUUAAGCACUCCGCCUGGGGAGUACGACCGCAAGGUUGAAACUCAAAGGAAUUGACG